AGAAAACUCCAAAACAAAGAGAGUGAAAAUGGAGAGAAAGUGCUUAAGCAACGAGUUGCAGACGCUAAUAGAGGCGAUCAAGGCUUCAGACGUUGUUGAGAGCCGCGUUAAACUGCUCAACGAAGUGAGGGAUUUGGAGUUAUCUGAGAAUUCUGACGUAGCUUAUCUUAUAGAAUGCCUAACUACAUUUUGGGAAGACUUCACUUGUUUGGAUGUAACGCAGUGUAUGUUGAACAAAAGUAUUUUGUGUGUGGC